UACGUAGGGGGCAAGCGUUGUCCGGAUUCAUUGGGCGUAAAGAGCGUGUAGGCGGCCAGGUAGGUCGGUUGUGAAAACUGGAGGCUCAACCUUCAGAGGUCGACCGAAACCAUCUGGCUAGAGUCCGGGAGAGGAGAGUGUAAUUCCUGGUGUAGCGGUGAAAUGCGCAGAUAUCAGGAAGAACACCCGUGGCGAAAGCGGCUCUCUGGAACGGUACUGACGCUGAGACGCGAAAGCGUGGGGAGCGAACAGG
rnacentral:rRNA from 1 species